GGAAUAUUGGACAAUGGGCGCAAGCCUGAUCCAGCCAUGCCGCGUGAGUGAUGAAGGCCUUAGGGUUGUAAAGCUCUUUCACCGAUGAAGAUAAUGACGGUAGUCGGAGAAGAAGCCCCGGCUAACUUCGUGCCAGCAGCCGCGGUAAUACGAAGGGGGCUAGCGUUGUUCGGAAUUACUGGGCGUAAAGCGCACGUAGGCGGAUAUUUAAGUCAGGGGUGAAAUCCCGCAGCUCAACUGCGGAACUGCCUUUGAUACUGGGUAUCUUGAGUAUGGAAGAGGUAAGUGGAAUUCCGAGUGUAGAGGUGAAAUUCGUAGAUAUUCGGAGGAACACCAGUGGCGAAGGCGGCUUACUGGUCCAUUACUGACGCUGAGGUGCGAAAGCGUGGGGAGCAAACAGGAUUAGAUACCCCUG
rnacentral:rRNA from 1 species